rnacentral:lncRNA from 1 species
ACUUAGCUGCUGAAGAAGGAGAGUCGCAUUCAGCCAGGGAUCACUGAGCAUUCAAAAGUCCAUCUGAGACCUGCUUUCAUUGCACUGCCUCGUGAGGAGCUGUAGGAGAAGAUAUCAUAACUAUUCCCCACUUCUAAUUGUUAGAAGCAACAGCUGUCUAUCAAGAACAAUCUGAGGAUUGUGCACAAAUUGAUUUGGUUCUAUCAAGUGCUGGCUUUCGAUUCCAGUCUGACUUCACUACCACAGGAGCUUCUUGCUCAGGCUUCUGUUCCGGCUCCAUUCUCUCCCUGCCAUUAUAAUGCCAUCCACUGCAGCACCAUCUCUUCAAUCAAUAAAGAAGCUGAGGUUCAGAGAGGAUAAAUGAACUACCUGAUGUCGCCCAAGGAGGAGCACGUCAAGAUUUUCACUAGGUUGUCUUUCAUGCCAAAGUGUGUGCUUUGAACUCCAAGUUGCCAUGGUGUCAAAGGAGGGAACAUUUGGGCUUUCCUAUCAGCUUGCCCACAUGGGGCAGUGGGAGAAGAAGUGAUGGUACUUGAAAGCUGUCAACAGUCAAACAUCAAAAAUGGAGUCAAACUCUAUUACAAACUUGCAGACCAGAGAUGUCUCUUCAUCAGUGCUCAGCCCAGCUACCCUCUAGGUUGGUCUUUCUGAGGUGGCUGAAAUUCAUUAAUAAAGUGGUGCUGAACCUCUAUA